ensembl:lncRNA
CAGGGACCCUCUGCACACAUCAACAACUGUCACCCACGAAGCAUCGUUACCCAUCGCUCCACAAAAGCUUAGUAGUUCCCCUUGCAGAUCAAGGGGAACUACUACUUCAAAGUCUCAGAGCAAGUGACGUCACCGAUUGAAACACUAUUUAGCGCGCACCACCGCUAACUAAGCUAGCGUUUCACAUCCGUGACAUACGUAAAGCAAAUAUCUAUGAAAAUAAGACAAAGAAAUACCUCAUCUAAUCUAAAACCACCUCAAAAAUAAUUAAUUUGUUAAUUAAGCUAAGCGAUUGACCUGAUGCUUUUACUUGGUACAUAUCAAGAUUGCCCUUGAGUUGAUUUAAAAGGUGCAGCCAUCAACAUCAGCAUUAUGUUAAUCUAGGUCCUUAUGACAGGUAUACCAGUCCAUCAUUGGUCCUUAUGACAGGUAUACCAGUCCAUCAUUGGUCCUUAUAACAGGUAUACCAGUCCAUCAUUGGUCCUUAUAACAGGUAUGCCAGUCCAUCAUUGGUCAUUAUAACAGGUAUGCCAGUCCAUCAUUGGUCAUUAUAACAGGUAUGCCAGUCCAUCAUUGGUCCUUAUGACAGGUAUGCCAGUCCAUCAUUGGUCCUUAUGACAGGUAUACCAGUCCAUCAUUGGUCAUUAUAACAGGUAUGCCAGUCCAUCAUUGGUCCUUAUGACAGGUAUGCCAGUCCAUCAUUGGUCGUUAUGACAGGUAUGCCAGUCCAUCAUUGGUCGUUAUGACAGGUAUGCCAGUCCAUCAUUGGUCGUUAUAACAGGUAUGCCAGUCCAUCAUUGGUCGUUAUGACAGGUAUGCCAGUCCAUCAUUGGUCGCUAUAACAGGUAUGCCAGUCCAUCAUUGGUCGCUAUAACAGGUAUGCCAGUCCAUCAUUGGUCGUUAUAACAGGUAUGCCAGUCCAUCACUAGUCGUUAUAACAGGUAUGCCAGUCCAUCACUAGUCGUUAUAACAGGUCUAUAACAGGUCUCUACAGCCCAGUAUUCUCAACAUACCAGUGUGAACAUU